GGACAGGUAGCUCAGUUGGUAGAGCAAUGGACUGAAAAUCCAUGUGUCGCCGGUUCGAUCCCGGCUCUGUCCA
rnacentral:tRNA from 1 species